UGCGUAGGCGGGCUAAUAAGUCAGUGGUGAAAUCUCUCGGCUCAACCGGGAAACUGCCAUUGAUACUGUUAGUCUUGAGUUCGGUUGAGGUAGGCGGAAUGUGUAAUGUAGCGGUGAAAUGCUUAGAUAUUACACAGAACACCAACUGCGUAGGCAGCUUACUAGACCGACACUGACGCUGAGGCACGAAAGCGUGGGUAGCGAACAGGAUUAGAUACCCUGGUAGUCC
rnacentral:rRNA from 1 species